GUUUAUGGCCAUAACCACCCUCAAUGCAACCUGGUCUCAUCUGAUCUCAGAAGCUAAGCAGGGUCGGGCCUGGUUAGUCCUUGGAUGGGAGGAGUCACCAGUU
rnacentral:rRNA from 1 species